AAUUCGAUUGAGUUUGAUCAUGGCUCAGAAUCAACGCUGGCGGCGUGCCUCAGACAUGCAAGUCGAACGCGAAAGUCCCCUUCGGGGGACAAGUAGAGUGGCGCACGGGUGAGUAACACGUAGGUAAUCUACCUUCGGAUGGGGAAUAACAAUCGGAAGCGAUUGCUAAUACCGCAUAAUGCAGCGGCACCUAAUGGUGACAGUUGUUAAAGCGGGGGAUCGAAAGACCUCGCGUCUGAAGAGGAGCCUGCGGCGGAUUAGCUAGUUGGUAAGGUAAUGGCUUACCAAGGCAACGAUCCGUAACCGGCCUGAGAGGGCGGUCGGUCACACUGACACUGACAUACGGGUCAGACUCCUACGGGAGGCAGCAGUCGGGAAUUUUGGGCAAUGGGCGAAAGCCUGACCCAGCAACGCCGCGUGAAGGAUGAAAUCCCUCGGGAUGUAAACUUCGCAAGAACGGGAAGAAUAAGUAGGGGACAAUACCCCCUAUGAUGACGGUACCGUUUGUAAGCUCCGGCUAACUCCGUGCCGGCAGCCGCGGUAAUACGGGGGGAGCAAGCGUUGUUCGGAUUUACUGGGCGUAAAGGGCGCGUAGGCGGCCAGCACAAGUCAGUUGUGAAAUCUCCGAGCUUAACUCGGAAAGGUCAACUGAUACUGUGCGGCUAGAGUGCGGAAGGGGCAACUGGAAUUCUUGGUGUAGCGGUGAAAUGCGUAGAUAUCAAGAGGAACACCUGCGGCGAAGGC
rnacentral:rRNA from 1 species